UUGAAGAGUUUGAUCAUGGCUCAGAUUGAACGCUGGCGGCAGGCCUAACACAUGCAAGUCGAGCGGUAGCACAGAGAGCUUGCUCUCGGGUGACGAGCGGCGGACGGGUGAGUAAUGUCUGGGAAACUGCCUGAUGGAGGGGGAUAACUACUGGAAACGGUAGCUAAUACCGCAUAACGUCGCAAGACCAAAGUGGGGGACCUUCGGGCCUCAUGCCAUCAGAUGUGCCCAGAUGGGAUUAGCUAGUAGGUGGGGUAACGGCUCACCUAGGCGACGAUCCCUAGCUGGUCUGAGAGGAUGACCAGCCACACUGGAACUGAGACACGGUCCAGACUCCUACGGGAGGCAGCAGUGGGGAAUAUUGCACAAUGGGCGCAAGCCUGAUGCAGCCAUGCCGCGUGUGUGAAGAAGGCCUUCGGGUUGUAAAGCACUUUCAGCGGGGAGGAAGGCGUUAAGGUUAAUAACCUCAUCGAUUGACGUUACCCGCAGAAGAAGCACCGGCUAACUCCGUGCCAGCAGCCGCGGUAAUACGGAGGGUGCAAGCGUUAAUCGGAAUUACUGGGCGUAAAGCGCACGCAGGCGGUCUGUCAAGUCGGAUGUGAAAUCCCCGGGCUCAACCUGGGAACUGCAUUCGAAACUGGCAGGCUAGAGUCUUGUAGAGGGGGGUAGAAUUCCAGGUGUAGCGGUGAAAUGCGUAGAGAUCUGGAGGAAUACCGGUGGCGAAGGCGGCCCCCUGGACAAAGACUGACGCUCAGGUGCGAAAGCGUGGGGAGCAAACAGGAUUAGAUACCCUGGUAGUCCACGCCGUAAACGAUGUCGAUUUGGAGGUUGUGCCCUUGAGGCGUGGCUUCCGGAGCUAACGCGUUAAAUCGACCGCCUGGGGAGUACGGCCGCAAGGUUAAAACUCAAAUGAAUUGACGGGGGCCCGCACAAGCGGUGGAGCAUGUGGUUUAAUUCGAUGCAACGCGAAGAACCUUACCUGGUCUUGACAUCCACAGAACUUUCCAGAGAUGGAUUGGUGCCUUCGGGAACUGUGAGACAGGUGCUGCAUGGCUGUCGUCAGCUCGUGUUGUGAAAUGUUGGGUUAAGUCCCGCAACGAGCGCAACCCUUAUCCUUUGUUGCCAGCGGUUAGGCCGGGAACUCAAAGGAGACUGCCAGUGAUAAACUGGAGGAAGGUGGGGAUGACGUCAAGUCAUCAUGGCCCUUACGACCAGGGCUACACACGUGCUACAAUGGCAUAUACAAAGAGAAGCGACCUCGCGAGAGCAAGCGGACCUCAUAAAGUAUGUCGUAGUCCGGAUUGGAGUCUGCAACUCGACUCCAUGAAGUCGGAAUCGCUAGUAAUCGUAGAUCAGAAUGCUACGGUGAAUACGUUCCCGGGCCUUGUACACACCGCCCGUCACACCAUGGGAGUGGGUUGCAAAAGAAGUAGGUAGCUUAACCUUCGGGAGGGCGCUUACCACUUUGUGAUUCAUGACUGGGGUGAAGUCGUAACAAGGUAACCGUAGGGGAACCUGCGGUUGGAUCACCUCCUU
rnacentral:rRNA from 1 species